UUUUCCAUAAGUUCGGCCGACUUGUGGUCCAACGUCCGCCGAUCCUCGGAUCUUCGCCCCACUUUGUUCUCCCAUUGCUUUCUGCUAUCAGUAAAAUCGCCAACGUAGAUGGAUCUUCCAAAAAAACAUUCAGAUGUUAGUUUUUUGCCAGCAUUACCUUAACCAGGUAUGUGAAGUGGCAAAAAAUGGUGCAGGUAACCAAACACAUCCUUAGUGUUUCAGUUUGCUAGUUCUGCAAUGCACGCGAUGUAAGUUGCUAUGGCGGAUAUCAAGGUUUUUUCUUUUAGAUGUGGAUAGCAAGGUUCAGAUCGAAAUGAUAGUUUCCCAAUCUGAAAAAAUGGA
rnacentral:lncRNA from 1 species